CACGUAGGGCGCAAGCGUUGUCCGGAAUUAUUGGGCGUAAAGCGUGCGCAGGCGGCUUUGCAAGACAGAUGUGAAAUCCCCGGGCUCAACCUGGGAACUGCAUUUGUGACUGCAAGGCUAGAGUACGGUAGAGGGGGAUGGAAUUCCGCGUGUAGCAGUGAAAUGCGUAGAUAUGCGGAGGAACACCGAUGGCGAAGGCAAUCCCCUGGGCCUGCACUGACGCUCAUGCACGAAAGCGUGGGGAGCAAACAGG
rnacentral:rRNA from 1 species